GCACACAGGACUGAUCACACAUGGGAGAUACAGUCGGGAAGAAAACCUUAUUAGGUUGUUAGUAUCUGCCACUAUUCCUGAAUCACUAUUAAGGUCAUUUGUGAAUACUGGUGCAAGAAGACUCUUAAUUUAGUCAUCCAUAAAUUGUAAAUAAUCCUAGCAGAUUAUGAACUGUCUUACUGCACCAGCUCAAGUUGGCAAUUGGCAGGUAUACUUAGAUAGUUAUGUUGUUCUUGCUAUUAUUGAGCACACAGGACUGAUCACACAUGGGAGAUACAGUCGGGAAGAAAACCUUAUUAGGUUGUUAUUAUCUGCUACUAUUCCUGAAUCAUUAUUAAGGUCAUUUUGUGAAUACUGGUACAAGAAGACUCUCAAUGGAUCGAGUUGUUCAUAAAUUGUAAAUAAUCCUAGCAGACACUUUAUCGUCAUUGCACCAGCUCAUGUUUAGCAGGUAUACUCAGAGAGUUAUGUUGUUCUUGCUAAUAUUGAGCACACAGGACUGAUCACACAUGGGAGAUGCAGUCGGGAAGAAAACCUUAUUAGAACAUUACUAAUACCAACUGACAGUGGUUCAGGGUACAGGCACCCAAAGGCAAGACUCAGAAGGAAGCAUGUUUGACCUUGGAAAUGGAUGUUGUUCACAAACUUAAGAUGAGCUGGUGUUGUAUCGUUUGUAUGUGACUACUAAAGAAACUUCCCAUUCCAACAUACACUGAUGAGGAAUACCUAUACUAAACUGAAUUACACUGGCUUCAGAAAAAUACUCAAGAAACACUAUAAAGUCAAUAUUUACACCUUGCAAGUUUGAUUGUGGCAACAAUUUCUUCAAAGAAAAGGUCAAGAAAUCAUAUUGUCACAAAUCGAAAGGAAUUAACACUCUUAUUCAAAGAAUUAAAGAAAUUAUGAUUAAUUAACUAAAGAAUGUUAACUGUGGUCGGACCAUAGCUAAGCUUCAUUUCCCCCAUUGGGUGGGGUCUCUUCACUGUGGCCAAUGCGUGGCUGAUGGGAGCAAUUUUUAAAGUGACAAUAGUGGCUAUUAUAGCAUGUAUAUAUUGGACCUGUAGCCCCUUACCAUGGUGCCCUGACACUGGUGCCAGUUGCUGGGUCGUUGGUCAGGUUUCGUUCUUUCAGUUUGGUUCAUUUCUUUUGCCGCUAAUACUUACUCCUUGAGAUAAAGAUGCUCCUAUCCAAUCUGGAUUCCAUUACUUCUUCCUAGCCUGUUGGAUAAUCUCUGCCCUCAUCAGUUCUUGCUAUACUUAUGCUUGGGACUUUAAAAUGGACUUGUGUCUGUUUGAAGGAGGCUACUUCACAAGAAGAGAAAGAAUACAAGGCAUCAUACAUUUUAGUAAUGAUAGAGGACCUGUUGUUAAGAUGGGUAUGGACACUCACUCUAUCAGUGAGGGAGGGUGGACUAGGUGUUCUUAAUGAUGAUACAUGUUCUUUUUGUUCUGGAGAU